GGAAGAGAAAGAAAAUUCGAUUCCCUUAGUAGCGGCGAGCGAAACGGGAAGAGCCCAAACCAACAAGCUUGCUUGUUGGGGUUGUAGGACACUCUAUACGGAGUUACAAAGGACGACAUUAGACGAAUCAUCUGGAAAGAUGAAUCAAAGAAGGUAAUAAUCCUGUAGUCGAAAAUGUUGUCUCUCUUGAGUGGAUCCUGAGUACGACGGAGCACGUGAAAUUCCGUCGGAAUCUGGGAGGACCAUCUCCUAAGGCUAAAUACUCUCUAGUGACCGAUAGUGAACCAGUACCGUGAGGGAAAGGUGAAAAGCACCCCGGAAGGGGAGUGAAAUAGAACCUGAAACCGUGUGCUUACAAGUAGUCAGAGCCCGUUAAUGGGUGAUGGCGUGCCUUUUGUAGAAUGAACCGGCGAGUUACGAUUUGAUGCAAGGUUAAGCAGUAAAUGUGGAGCCGUAGCGAAAGCGAGUCUGAAUAGGGCGUUUAGUAUUUGGUCGUAGACCCGAAACCAGGUGAUCUACCCUUGGUCAGGUUGAAGUUCAGGUAACACUGAAUGGAGGACCGAACCGACUUACGUUGAAAAGUGAGCGGAUGAACUGAGGGUAGCGGAGAAAUUCCAAUCGAACCUGGAGAUAGCUGGUUCUCUCCGAAAUAGCUUUAGGGCUAGCCUCAAGUGAUGAUUAUUGGAGGUAGAGCACUGUUUGGACGAGGGGCCCCUCUCGGGUUACCGAAUUCAGACAAACUCCGAAUGCCAAUUAAUUUAACUUGGGAGUCAGAACAUGGGUGAUAAGGUCCGUGUUCGAAAGGGAAACAGCCCAGACCACCAGCUAAGGUCCCAAAAUAUAUGUUAAGUGGAAAAGGAUGUGGCGUUGCCCAGACAACUAGGAUGUUGGCUUAGAAGCAGCCAUCAUUUAAAGAGUGCGUAAUAGCUCACUAGUCGAGUGACACUGCGCCGAAAAUGUACCGGGGCUAAACAUAUUACCGAAGCUGUGGAUUGUCCUUUGGACAAUGGUAGGAGAGCGUUCUAAGGGCGUUGAAGCAUGAUCGUAAGGACAUGUGGAGCGCUUAGAAGUGAGAAUGCCGGUGUGAGUAGCGAAAGACGGGUGAGAAUCCCGUCCACCGAUUGACUAAGGUUUCCAGAGGAAGGCUCGUCCGCUCUGGGUUAGUCGGGUCCUAAGCUGAGGCCGACAGGCGUAGGCGAUGGAUAACAGGUUGAUAUUCCUGUACCACCUAUAAUCGUUUUAAUCGAUGGGGGGGACGCAGUAGGAUAGGCGAAGCGUGCGAUUGGAUUGCACGUCUAAGCAGUAAGGCUGAGUAUUAGGCAAAUCCGGUACUCGUUAAGGCUGAGCUGUGAUGGGGAGAAGACAUUGUGUCUUCGAGUCGUUGAUUUCACACUGCCGAGAAAAGCCUCUAGAUAGAAAAUAGGUGCCCGUACCGCAAACCGACACAGGUAGUCAAGAUGAGAAUUCUAAGGUGAGCGAGCGAACUCUCGUUAAGGAACUCGGCAAAAUGACCCCGUAACUUCGGGAGAAGGGGUGCUCUUUAGGGUUAACGCCCAGAAGAGCCGCAGUGAAUAGGCCCAAGCGACUGUUUAUCAAAAACACAGGUCUCUGCUAAACCGUAAGGUGAUGUAUAGGGGCUGACGCCUGCCCGGUGCUGGAAGGUUAAGAGGAGUGGUUAGCUUCUGCGAAGCUACGAAUCGAAGCCCCAGUAAACGGCGGCCGUAACUAUAACGGUCCUAAGGUAGCGAAAUUCCUUGUCGGGUAAGUUCCGACCCGCACGAAAGGCGUAACGAUUUGGGCACUGUCUCAACGAGAGACUCGGUGAAAUCAUAGUACCUGUGAAGAUGCAGGUUACCCGCGACAGGACGGAAAGACCCCGUGGAGCUUUACUGUAGCCUGAUAUUGAAAUUCGGCACAGCUUGUACAGGAUAGGUAGGAGCCUUUGAAACGUGAGCGCUAGCUUACGUGGAGGCGCUGGUGGGAUACUACCCUAGCUGUGUUGGCUUUCUAACCCGCACCACUUAUCGUGGUGGGAGACAGUGUCAGGCGGGCAGUUUGACUGGGGCGGUCGCCUCCUAAAAGGUAACGGAGGCGCUCAAAGGUUCCCUCAGAAUGGUUGGAAAUCAUUCAUAGAGUGUAAAGGCAUAAGGGAGCUUGACUGCGAGACCUACAAGUCGAGCAGGGUCGAAAGACGGACUUAGUGAUCCGGUGGUUCCGCAUGGAAGGGCCAUCGCUCAACGGAUAAAAGCUACCCCGGGGAUAACAGGCUUAUCUCCCCCAAGAGUUCACAUCGACGGGGAGGUUUGGCACCUCGAUGUCGGCUCAUCGCAUCCUGGGGCUGUAGUCGGUCCCAAGGGUUGGGCUGUUCGCCCAUUAAAGCGGUACGCGAGCUGGGUUCAGAACGUCGUGAGACAGUUCGGUCCCUAUCCGUCGUGGGCGUAGGAAAUUUGAGAGGAGCUGUCCUUAGUACGAGAGGACCGGGAUGGACAUACCUCUGGUGUACCAGUUGUCGUGCCAACGGCAUAGCUGGGUAGCUAUGUGUGGACGGGAUAAGUGCUGAAAGCAUCUAAGCAUGAAGCCCCCCUCAAGAUGAGAUUUCCCAACUUCGGUUAUAAGAUCCCUCAAAGAUGAUGAGGUUAAUAGGUUCGAGGUGGAAGCAUGGUGACAUGUGGAGCUGACGAAUACUAAUCGAUCGAAGACUUAAUCAA
rnacentral:rRNA from 2 species